GUCUACGGCCAUACCACCCUGAACACGCCCGAUCUCGUCUGAUCUCGGAAGCUAAGCAGCGUCGGGCCUGAUCAGUACUUGGAUGAGAGAAAUGACACAUGCAAAGCUGAGGUGGAAGACA
rnacentral:rRNA from 1 species